GCGCCCGUUCUGGACGGAACCGCUCCAUUGCCUACGGAGCGUGUGCGAGUUCGAUUCUCGCCGGGCGCA
rnacentral:tRNA from 1 species